CGCGGCCUAUCAGCUUGUUGGUGAGGUAACGGCUCACCAAGGCAUCGACGGGUAGCUGGUCUGAGAGGACGAUCAGCCACACUGGGACUGAGACACGGCCCAGACUCCUACGGGAGGCAGCAGUAGGGAAUCUUGCGCAAUGGGCGAAAGCCUGACGCAGCAACGCCGCGUGGGGGAUGAAUGCCUUCGGGUUGUAAACCCCUUUCAGCAGGGACGAAAAUGACGGUACCUGCAGAAGAAGCCCCGGCCAACUACGUGCCAGCAGCCGCGGUAAUACGUAGGGAGCGAGCGUUGUCCGGAAUUAUUGGGCGUAAAGAGCCCGUAGGCGGUUCAGUAAGUCGGGUGUGAAAACUCAAGGCUCAACCUUGAGACGCCACUCGAUACUGCUGUGACUUGAGUCCGGUAGAGGAGUGUGGAAUUCCUGGUGUAGCGGUGAAAUGCGCAGAUAUCAGGAGGAACACCAGCGGCGAAGGCGGCACUCUGGGCCGGUACUGACGCUGAGGAGCGAAAGCAUGGGGAGCAAACAGGGUUAGAUACCCUGGUAGUCCAUGCCGUAAACGUUGGGCACUAGGUAUGGGAUCAUAUCAACGGAUUCCGUGCCGUAGCUAACGCAUUAAGUGCCCCGCCUGGGGAGUACGG
rnacentral:rRNA from 1 species